AAGUCGUAACAAGGUUUCCGUAGGUGAACCUGCGGAAGGAUCAUUACCGAUAGCGAAGAGAUGCUUAAAUGCGUCUCUUUCGUUUAGCAGCACCUUUGCUGGGCUGUUGUGCGCAAGUCCUGUGUGCCGUCGCUUGCGAUGGAGUCAGGCAAACUGGUGAGGUCUGCCGCGGUUUUGUCGUCGGCGCGCGAGAGUCGUGGGGCUAGCAAGACCCUUUGACUCCGCGUGUCUGGCUAGACACGAUGACUGGCUAGG
rnacentral:misc_RNA from 1 species